rnacentral:rRNA from 1 species
AGGACGAACGCUGGCGGCGUGCUUAACACAUGCAAGUCGAGCGAGGCCCGUCCUUCGGGACGGUGCCCUAGCGGCGAACGGGUGAGUAACACGUGGGCAACCUGCCCCUAGCACUGGGAUAACUCCGGGAAACCGGGGCUAAUACCGGAUAUGACCUUUGAGGGCAUCCUCGAAGGUGUAAAGGACUCUGGCUAGGGAUGGGCCCGCGGCCUAUCAGCUUGUUGGUGGGGUAACGGCCUACCAAGGCGACGACGGGUAGCCGGCCUGAGAGGGCGACCGGCCACACUGGGACUGAGACACGGCCCAGACUCCUACGGGAGGCAGCAGUGGGGAAUAUUGCACAAUGGGCGAAAGCCUGAUGCAGCGACGCCGCGUGAGGGAUGACGGCCUUCGGGUUGUAAACCUCUUUCAGCAGGACGAAGCGAAGUGACGGUACCUGCAGAAGAAGCACCGGCCAACUACGUGCCAGCAGCCGC